AUUGAACGCUGGCGGCAUGCUUUACACAUGCAAGUCGAACGGCAGCGCGGGGCAACCUGGCGGCGAGUGGCGAACGGGUGAGUAAUAUAUCGGAACGUACCCAGAAGUGGGGGAUAACGUAGCGAAAGUUACGCUAAUACCGCAUACGAUCUACGGAUGAAAGUAGGGGACCGCAAGGCCUUAUGCUUUUGGAGCGGCCGAUAUCUGAUUAGCUAGUUGGUGAGGUAAAGGCUCACCAAGGCGACGAUCAGUAGCUGGUCUGAGAGGACGACCAGCCACACUGGAACUGAGACACGGUCCAGACUCCUACGGGAGGCAGCAGUGGGGAAUUUUGGACAAUGGGCGCAAGCCUGAUCCAGCAAUGCCGCGUGAGUGAAGAAGGCCUUCGGGUUGUAAAGCUCUUUUGUCAGGGAAGAAACGGUAGAGGCUAAUAUCCAUUGCUAAUGACGGUACCUGAAGAAUAAGCACCGGCUAACUACGUG
rnacentral:rRNA from 1 species